AUCGGGAGCCGGCCGAACUGUGCGGUUGCUGGUGACGCGACACCGUCCGGAAGUGUAUCGGCGACGGGGGCGGCCGGUACACCAUAACGGGAGCGCGAGUCUUUUCCGGCCCGCCGCCGGAACGGUUCGGCCGGACGGGAGGAAAAGAGCACCCGAUUUUCGGGAUAACCGCCGGACCGGCGCGACGACGACGACGACGUUACACGGACGCACGGCACCGUAAAAAACACCCGGGGGUAUUACUGGCGGGUACACGACUCUGGGUACACGGAGCGGAUCGAACGCGGUAACGGACGCGCGCACUGCAAACUGCUGCCGGACGGUACGUCGGGUCGGAGCGAACUGAACCGCCGCCGUUGUUGCGUUACGCUCCGGGAGUGUGCCUACGCGCGACGACAAUCGCGGCGGUCGGCCAUGUUGAAUUGUUG